AUGCUAGGUGUCGGGGGUCAAACCUCGGUGCCGAAGUUAACACAUUAAGCAUUCCGCCUGGGGAGUACGGUGGCAACACUGAAACUCAAAGGAAUUGACGGGGACCCGCACAAGCAGCGGAGCAUGUGGUUUAAUUCGAUGCAACGCGAAGAACCUUACCAGGGCUUGACAUAUAUGCGCUAGCACUAGAGAUAGUGGGUUCUCUUCGGAGACGCAUAUACAGGUGGUGCAUGGUUGUCGUCAGCUCGUGUCGUGAGAUGUUGGGUUAAGUCCCGCAACGAGCGCAACCCU
rnacentral:rRNA from 1 species